rnacentral:rRNA from 1 species
AUUGAACGCUGGCGGGAUGCCUUACACAUGCAAGUCGAGCGGAGCGGCGGACGGGUGAGUAAUGCCUCGGAAUCUGCCUGGUAGCGGGGGAUAACGUCCGGAAAGCGGAGCUAAUACCGCAUACUAUUCGAUGAGCCUAGGUCGGAUUAGCUAGUUGGUGGGGUAACGGCCGACCAAGGCGACGAUCCGUAACUGGUCUGAGAGGAUGAUCAGCCACACUGGAACUGAGACACGGUCCAGACUCCUACGGGAGGCAGCAGUGGGGAAUAUUGGACAAUGGGCGAAAGCCUGAUCCAGCCAUGCCGCGUGUGUGAAGAAGGUCUUCGGAUUGUAAAGCACUUUAAGUAGGGAGGCGUUACCAACAGAAUAAGCACCGGCUAACUUCGUGCCAGCAGCCGCGGUAAUAC